UCAGGAAGGUGCUCUCUCAGCACAACGGAAAAUAUCUCAAUGACUUGACAUGUUCUGGCUGUGAAUUCAGGCUACAAGGCUGGUUGAAUGAGCUGCCUGUGAAAGCUACUUCAUCUGCAAGAAAACAGGCGGCUGCACCAGUGACUGUCAGAAGUUUUGUGAUUUCCUCAUAUGAACGUGAAAGGGUCAGUGCUCUAAAAUGAGUCUCUCUGGGGAGAGAGAGGAGGGACCUGCCUCUAAAAUGAGACUCUCUGGGGAGAGA